rnacentral:rRNA from 1 species
UGAGGGAAAGUUGAAAAGAACUUUGAAGAGAGAGUUCAAGAGUACGUGAAACCGCUCAGGGGUAAACGGAAAAGACCUGAAUAUACGAAAGGGGAGAUUCACGUCUUACCAUAUAUUCUGCUUUUAAGUGCAUUGAGAUGGUCAUUCGCCCUGCUCAGUGUAAACAGUUAGUAGUGGGUUUGGUCGCUCGCAUUUAAUAUGUAAGAAUAAUGGUGGACCGCAUUUCUCCCUUAGUAAGACGUUGCGACCUGUUAAAUAAUAUUCUAAGUAUAGUUAAAGUGCCUGUUUAAAAGUAUUUACUGAAAGGUAUGCUUUUUUACAGCUUUAACUAAUAUACUGGAUAUUUAUAUUUUUAACAGUAAAAAAUGACGGUGUUGAGCCACUUAAAAUUGCUAAUUUAUUUAGUAAUUAAUAGUGUUAUUGUCCGUUUACAAGUGGGUUGUUUUUUUUAGUAUAAUCGUACUUAAGUCCGUUUAUACUUUACUCCUACUGUUUGUA